AUUGAACGCUGGCGGCAUGCCUUACACAUGCAAGUCGAACGGUAACAGGUCUUCGGAUGCUGACGAGUGGCGAACGAGUGAGUAAUACAUCGGAACGUGCCUAGUAGUGGGGGAUAACUACUCGAAAGAGUGGCUAAUACCGCAUGAGAUCUACGGAUGAAAGCAGGGGAUCGCAAGACCUUGUGCUACUAGAGCGGCCGAUGGCAGAUUAGGUAGUUGGUGGGAUAAAAGCUUACCAAGCCGACGAUCUGUAGCUGGUCUGAGAGGACGAUCAGCCACACUGGGACUGAGACACGGCCCAGACUCCUACGGGAGGCAGCAGUGGGGAAUUUUGGACAAUGGGCGAAAGCCUGAUCCAGCAAUGCCGCGUGCAGGAUGAAGGCCUUCGGGUUGUAAACUGCUUUUGUACGGAACGAAAAGCCCCGGGUUAAUACCCUGGGGUCAUGACGGUACCGUAAGAAUAAGCACCGGCUAACUACGUGCCAGACGCCGCUGUAAGAC
rnacentral:rRNA from 1 species